UGCCCCAUGGCUGAGUUGGUUACAGCGUCCGACUGUUAUCCCAUAUCGGGAAGCUUAUCGGAAGGUCGUGAGUUCGAGCCUCACUGGGGCAG